rnacentral:rRNA from 1 species
GAUGAACGCUAGCGGCAGGCCUAAUACAUGCAAGUCGAGGGGUAAGGUCUACUUCGGUAGAUACACGACCGGCGCACGGGUGCGUAACGCGUAUGCAACCUACCUUUAACAGAGGGAUAGCCCCGAGAAAUCGGGAUUAAUACCACAUAACAUUGCAUAGUGACAUGAUAAAGCAAUUAAAGCUCCGGCGGUUAGAGAUGGGCAUGCGUGACAUUAGCUAGUUGGUGAGGUAACUGCUCACCAAGGCUACGAUGUCUAGGGGUUCUGAGAGGAUGAUCCCCCACACUGGUACUGAGACACGGACCAGACUCCUACGGGAGGCAGCAGUAAGGAAUAUUGCGCAAUGGAGGCAACUCUGACGCAGCCAUGCCGCGUGCAGGAAGAAGGCUUUAUGAGUCGUAAACUGCUUUUAUAUAGGAAUAAACUCUCGUACGUGUACGAGAUUGCAGGUACUAUAAGAAUAAGCACCGGCUAACUCCGUGCCAGCAGCCGCGGUAAUACGGAGGGUGCAAGCGUUAUCCGGAUUCAUUGGGUUUAAAGGGUGCGCAGGCGGUUUAAUAAGUCAGUGGUGAAAUCCCGUAGCUCAACCCCGGCACUGCCAUUGAUACUGUUAGUCUUGAAUAACGGUUGAAAGUAGGCGGAAUGUAGCAUGUAGCGGUGAAAUGCAUAGAGAUGCUACAGAACACCGAUCGCGGAAGGCAGCUCACUAAACUAUUACUGACGCUCAUGGACGAAAGCGUGGGGAGCGAACAGGAUUAGAUACCCUGGUAGUCCACGCCGUAAAACUAUGAUCACUCGUUGUUGGCGAUACACUGUCAGUGACUAAGCGAAAGCGAUAAGUGAUCCACCUGGGGAGUACGAUCGCAAGGUUGAAACUCAAAGGAAUUGACGGGGGCCCGCACAAGCGGUGGAGCAUGUGGUUUAAUUCGAUGAUACGCGAGGAACCUUACCUGGGCUCAAAUGCAAGAUGACAACCCCUGAAAGGGGGCUUUCUUCGGACAUUUUGCAAGGUGCUGCAUGGUUGUCGUCAGCUCGUGCCGUGAGGUGUCGGGUUAAGUCCUAUAACGAGCGCAACCCCUACUCUUAGUUGCCAGCAUGUUAUGAUGGGGACUCUAAGAGAACUGCCUACGCAAGUAGAGAGGAAGGUGGGGAUGACGUCAAAUCAGCACGGCCCUUACGUCCAGGGCUACACACGUGCUACAAUGGCCGGUACAGAGGGCAGCCACCUGGUGACAGGGAGCGAAUCUCCAAAGCCGGUCUCAGUUCGGAUCGAAGUCUGCAACCCGACUUCGUGAAGCUGGAAUCGCUAGUAAUCGCGCAUCAGCCAUGGCGCGGUGAAUACGUUCCCGGGCCUUGUACACACCGCCCGUCAAGCCAUGGAAGCUGGGAGUACCUGAAGUCGGUAACCGUAAAGGAGCCGCCUAGGGUAAAACUAGUAACUGGGGCUA